CGCNNNANCUUACCAACCCUUGACAUCNUAUGACNACCUGAGAGAUCAGGCUUNNCUUCGGGACAUAGUGACAGNUGCUGCAUNGCUGUCGUCAGCUCGUGUCGUGAGAUGUUCGGUUAAGUCCGGCAACGAGCGCAACCCACAUCCCUAGUUGCCAGCAGUUCGGNCNGGGCACUCUAUGGAAACUGCCCGUGAUAAGCGGGAGGAAGGUGUGGAUGACGUCAAGUCCUCAUGGCCCUUACGGGUUGGGCUACACACGUGCUACAAUGGCAACUACAGUGAGUUAAUCUCCAAAAGUUGUCUCAGUUCGGAUUGGGGUCUGCAACUCGACCCCAUGAAGUCGGAAUCGCUAGUAAUCGCGUAACAGCAUGACGCGGUGAAUACGUUCCCGGGCCUUGUACACACCGCCCGUCACACCAUGGGAGUUGGUUCUACCCGACGGCCGUGCGCUAACCUCU
rnacentral:rRNA from 1 species